UUUAAUUCCGCGGGGUCUCGGACUGAUCCGAGGUCCCAUUCAGAAGUUGGGGUUUUACGGCGUGGCCGCGACGAUUACCAGUAACGAGGUGUAUGAUUACUACGCUAUGGAAGCUCGACGUGACCGCCAAUCGAUUUGGGGAACGCGGGUUACCGCGAGUCCCAACACCAAGCUGAUCUUGAGGGUUGAAAUGACGCUCGAACAGGCAUGCCCACAAGAAUGGUGAUUGGCAAAAUGCGUG
rnacentral:misc_RNA from 1 species